rnacentral:ncRNA from 1 species
AAGGUUUGAGUAAGAGCGCAUCUGUUGGGACCCGAAAGAUGGUGAACUAUGCCUGAAUAGGGUGAAGCCAGAGGAAACUCUGGUGGAGGCUCGUAGCGAUUCUGACGUGCAAAUCGAUCGUCAAAUUUGGGUAUAGGGGCGAAAGACUAAUCGAACUGUCUAGUAGCUGGUUCCCUCCGAAGUUUCCCUCAGGAUAGCUGGAACUUACGGCAGUUUUAUCAGGUAAAGCGAAUGAUUAGAGGUCUUAGGGUUAAAACAACCUUAACCUAUUCUCAAACUUUAAAUUGGUAAGAAGUCCGACUUGCUUAAUUGAAGCCGGACAGUGAAUGUAGCAAGAUUAGGGAUUUACCAGAACCUGCCAUAGGGGUGCAUUUGAACCUCAACAGAGUUACAACUAUUACAUAAACUAACCUUCCGAACUGUCGAAGUGAUGAGCUCCACUUUGCUUUUAGACAUAACAGGCCUUCAAGAACUUGUCCACGUGGAUGAUGAUGGUCUCAUUUGUCGUGGUGAACAAUGUGGCGGAUUUACGGCAACAAGUAGUGGUCUGA